UGCCAGCAGCCGCGGUAAUACGGAGGGUGCGAGCGUUAAUCGGAAUUACUGGGCGUAAAGCGCGCGUAGGCGGCUUCGUCAGUCAGAUGUGAAAGCCCCGGGCUCAACCUGGGAACUGCAUUUGAUACUGCGGAGCUAGAGUAUGGUAGAGGAUAGUGGAAUUCCAGGUGUAGCGGUGAAAUGCGUAGAUAUCUGGAGGAACAUCAGUGGCGAAGGCGCUCUGCUGGGCCAUCACUGACGCUCAUGGACGAAAGGCAGGGGAGCGAAAGGGAUUAGAUA
rnacentral:rRNA from 1 species